rnacentral:rRNA from 1 species
UGGGGAAUUUUGGACAAUGGGCGAAAGCCUGAUCCAGCAAUGCCGCGUGUGUGAAGAAGGCCUUCGGGUUGUAAAGCACUUUUGUCCGGAAAGAAAUCCUUGGCGUCUAAUAACAGUCGGGGGAUGGACGGUACCGGAAGAAUAAGCACCGGCUAACUACGUGCCAGCAGCCGCGGUAAUACGUAGGGUGCAAGCGUUAAUCGGAAUUACUGGGCGUAAAGCGUGCGCAGGCGGUUUGCUAAGACCGAUGUGAAAUCCCCGGGCUCAACCUGGGAACUGCAUUGGUGACUGGCAGGCUAGAGUAUGGCAGAGGGGGGUAGAAUUCCACGUGUAGCAGUGAAAUGCGUAGAGAUGUGGAGGAAUACCGAUGGCGAAGGCAGCCCCCUGGGCCAAUACUGACGCUCAUGCACGAAAGCGUGGGGAGCAAACAGGAUUAGAUACCCUGGUAGUCCACGCCCUAAACGAUGUCAACUAGUUGUUGGGGAUUCAUUUCCUUAGUAACGUAGCUAACGCGUGAAGUUGACCGCCUGGGGAGUACGGUCGCAAGAUUAAAACUCAAAGGAAUUGACGGGGUC